rnacentral:rRNA from 1 species
CGUCCCAUUAGCUAGUUGGUGAGGUAACGGCUCACCAAGGCCACGAUGGGUAGCCGGCCUGAGAGGGUGUACGGCCACACUGGCACUGAGACAAGGGCCAGUCCCCUAUGGGAGGCGCAGGCGGGAAUAGUUCACAAUGGGCGAAAGCCUGAUGACGCGACGCCGCGUGAGCGAAGAAGACCUUCGGGUUGUAAAGCUCUGUCAGGAGGGAAGAAGGCUCUACGGGUUAAUAGCCCGUGGAAUUGACGGUACCUCCAGAGGAAGCCCCGGCUAAAUACGUGCCAGCAGCCGCGGUAAUACGUAUGGGGCAAGCGUUGUCCGGAUUUACUGGGCGUAAAGGGCGCGUAGGCGGUUUGUUAAGUCGAAGGUGAAAUCCUCGGGCUCAACUCGAGAAUUGCCUUCGAUACUGGCAAACUAGAGUGGCGGAGAGGAAAGCGGAACUCUUGGUGUAACGGUGGAAUGUGUAGAUCUCAAGAGGAACACCGGUGGCGAAGGCGGCUUUCUGGACGCACACUGACGCUCAGGCGCGAAAGCGUGGGUAGCAAACAGGAUUAGAUACCCUGGUAGUCCACGCCAUAAACGAUGGGUACUAGGUGUCGGGGGUAUCGACCCCUCCGGUGCCGCAGUUAACGCACUAAGUACCCCGCCUGGGGAUUAUGGUCGCAAGGCUGAAACUCAAAGGAAUUGACGGGGCCCCGCACAAGCGGUGGAGCAUGUGGUUUAAUUCGACGCAACGCGAAGAACCUUACCUGGGCUUGACAUGCUUGGGACAGCGCUGGAAACAGCGUCUCUCCUUCGGGAGCCCUUGCACAGGUGCUGCAUGGCUGUCGUCAGCUCGUGUCGUGAGAUGUUGGGUUAAGUCCCGCAACGAGCGCAACCCUCGUUACUAGUUGCCAUCAGUUCGGCUGGGCACUCUAGUGAGACUGCCGGUGAUAAACCGGAGCCCGGUGAGGAUGAUGUCAAGUCAUCAUGGCCCUUACGCCCAGGGCUACACACGUGCUACAAUGGUCGGCACAAAGGGUCGCUAAGCCGCGAGGUGGAGCUAAUCCCAAAAAGCCGGCCUCAGUUCGGAUUGGAGUCUGCAACCCGACUCCAUGAAGGCGGAAUCGCUAGUAAUCGCGGAUCAGCAUCCCGCGCUGAAUAUGUUCCCGGGGCUUGACACACCGCCCGUCAUAUCACCCGAGUCGGGAUACCCGAAGUCCGU